AGCUCGUGUCGUGAGAUGUUGGGUUAAGUCCCGCAACGAGCGCAACCCUUAUUGCUAGUUACCAUCAUUGAUUGGGGACUCUAGCGAGACUGCCAGUGAUAAACUGGAGGAAGGUGGGGAUGACGUCAAAUCAUCAUGCCCCUUAUGACCUGGGCUACAAACGUGAUACAAUGGCUGAAACAAAGGGCAGCGAAGCAGUCGAUCGUGGAGCGAACCCUAAAAGCAGUCUCAGUUCGGAUUGAAGUCUGCAACUCGACUUCAUGAAGUCGGAAUCGCUAGUAAUCGCGGAUCAGAACGCCGCGGUGAAUACGUUCUCGGGUUU
rnacentral:rRNA from 1 species